rnacentral:misc_RNA from 1 species
CAAAGGUAAAGCUUUACUUGAACGCCUCAACUUGGCCAGGAUAUGGCCUGAAAUGAGAGCGGCUGAGGAAAUGUCGCCCAGACAUCUAAACAGGCUUCAGCGGCUGUUGUCCAAAACGGAAGAAUAUUCUCCGAGGAAUAAUAUCGGUUCCCGGUGGCGAGAGUAUCAUGGUAGCAAUGAUUGGACAGGGCUUCUUGAUCCGCUGGAUGAGAACCUCCGGCGA